rnacentral:lncRNA from 1 species
AAUAGCCCUCUGAUAAAUUUUAUUUUUAAAAUUGGCCCUGUCAAAAUUUUAUUUGCAAAAAUGGCCCUGGUCCCGUCACGCAAGCGCCACGUCAGCGCCACGCGGGCGGGACUGGGCCAUGUGUUUAAGUUGAACACGGUGAACCAUUCACCGUGUUCAAUACAAGGUUUUUGUAUUAGACACGGUGAAUGGUUUACCGUGUCCAAUACAAAAUGGUUAACUGCGAGGUAUUUGUAUUGGACACGGUGAAUCAUUCAUCGUGUCCAAUACAAAUAAUUGAACACAGUGAAUGAUUCACCGUGUCCAAUACAAAUACCUCCAACUUAGCCAAAAAUGACUAAGUUGUGGGUGUUUGUAUUGGACACGGUGAUACAAAUACCUCGCAGUUAACCAUUUUGUAUUGGACACGGUGAACCAUUCACCGUGUUCAAUACAAGAUUUUUGUAUUAGACACGGUGAAUGGUUCACCGUGUCCAAUACAAAAUGGUUAACUGCGAGGUAUUUGUAUUGGACACGGUAAUUCACCGUGUCCAAUACAAAUAAUUGAACACGGUGAAUGAUUCACCGUGUCUAAUACAAACACCCACAACUUAGUCAUUUUUGGCUAAGUUGGAGGUAUUUGUAUUGGACACGGUGAAUCAUUCACCGUGUCUAAUACAAAACCUUGUAUUGAACACGGUGAAGAUUCACCGUGUUCAACUUAAACACAUGGCCCAGCCCCGCCCGCAUUGUGCUGACGUGGCGCUUGCGUGGCGGGGCCAGGGCCAUUUUUGCAAAUAAAAUUUUGACAGGGCCAAUUUUAAAAAUAAAAUUUAUAAGGGGGCUAUUUGCAAAAAAAACCCUUAAAAAAAAUAUUUUCAUUUUACAUAAUAUGUAGUAUUGCCGGUUUUCAGUAAUGCAAGAUACACGAUCCCCUAUCGUUAAUAUUUUCGGUAUAAUUUUGCUUGAUUUGUAAUGUUAUAUUAACGACGAGAUUAUAUAGAGGAUAAACCAAAUACGAUAAUUCUGACAGGAUUGCUUAUAAUCCAGUCAGGAUAACUUGAAACAAACGCACCUUGAAACAAACGCACCCAAAAAGGCCAAAAAAAAAAA